rnacentral:lncRNA from 1 species
AUAUCCUCUGGUUACUGGGAAACUUCAGCAAACUAAGAAGACAAUGCCCUCCUCUUAAUUAUUUGGGAUGACAUAUUUACUUCCUUAGUGGAAAAUGAAGCACAGAGAAGUUCAGUGAUGGACCUCAGAUACUACCAGCAGAAAGCAGAAGAGCUAGGAUUUCAACUUAGGAUGUCUGGAUCCACAGUCUGCACUCCUAGCCACUAUGCUACACUGCCUCUAACUAUGAGGAAGCAGGGGCAUUUUUUUUUUUUCUGGUGACUAAAAAGAUAAGAGUUCAGGUACGUGGCUCCUGAUAAUCUAACUUAUACAGCCUGGAAAAAUUGAUAGUUACUAUAUCCAGACUGUCUCAUUCAAUUAACAGUUUCUCAAGUAAUCUUCUAAUUACUGUCAUAUUUUAUCUGUAUCAACUUAGCAAACCAAGUCC